rnacentral:rRNA from 1 species
UACGGAGGGUGCAAGCGUUAAUCGGAAUUACUGGGCGUAAAGCGUGCGUAGGCGGUUCGUUAAGUCUGUUGUGAAAGCCCCGGGCUCAACCUGGGAAUGGCAAUGGAUACUGGCGAGCUAGAGUGUGUCAGAGGAUGGUGGAAUUCCCGGUGUAGCGGUGAAAUGCGUAGAGAUCGGGAGGAACAUCAGUGGCGAAGGCGGCCAUCUGGGACAACACUGACGCUGAGGCACGAAGCGUGGGAGCAAACAGG